rnacentral:rRNA from 1 species
GACGAACGCUGGCGGCGUGCUUAACACAUGCAAGUCGAACGGAAAGGCCCUGCUUUUGUGGGUUGCUCGAGUGGCGAACGGGUGAGUAACACGUGAGUAACCUGCCCUUGACUUUGGGAUAACUUCAGGAAGCUGGGGCUAAUACCGGAUAGGCGCUCCUGCUGCCUGGUGGGGGUUGGAAAGUUUCGGCGGUUGGGUAUGGACUCGCGGCUUAUCAGCUUGUUGGUGGGGUAGUGGCUUACCAAGGCUUUGACGGGUAGCCGGCCUGAGAGGGUGACCGGCAACAUUGGGACUGAGAUACGGCCCAGACUCCUACGGGAGGCAGCAGUGGGGAAUAUUGCACAAUGGGCGGAAGCCUGAUGCAGCAACGCCGCGUGCGGGAUGACGGCCUUCGGGUUGUAAACCGCUUUCGCCUGUGACGAAGCGUGAGUGACGGUAAUGGGUAAAGAAGCACCGGCUAACUACGUG